rnacentral:rRNA from 1 species
GUGGGGAAUCUUCCGCAAUGGACGAAAGUCUGACGGAGCAACGCCGCGUGGGUGAAGAAGGUUUUCGGAUCGUAAAGCUCUUUCGUUAGGGACGAACGUGCUCUUUGUGAAUAAUGAGGAGUAAUGACGGUACCUAAAUAAGAAGCCACGGCUAACUACGUGCCAGCAGCCGCGGUAAUACGUAGGUGGCAAGCGUUGUCCGGAAUUAUUGGGCGUAAAGCGCGCGCAGGCGGGAUAUCAAGUCUGUCUUAAAAGUGCGAGGCUCAACCUCGUGAGGGGACAGAAACUGGUAUUCUUGAGUGUCGGAGAGGAAAGUGGAAUUCCAAGUGUAGCGGUGAAAUGCGUAGAGAUUUGGAAGAACACCAGUGGCGAAGGCGACUUUCUGGACGAUGUCUGACGCUGAGGCGCGAAAGCUAGGGGAGCGAACGGGAUUAGAUACCCCAGUAGUCC